GCUCUUGAGCUGCUUGCUCAAGGCCUUUCCUUCCCUAUGGAGUGUACUUUGUUUAAAUCCCUGCCUUCACUGCCUUGCUUUGUUUGUGUGUUUUGUUCAAUUCUCUGUUAAAAACGCCAAGAACCUGGACAACUACCCUAAACAGGCAACAAAAGCACAAAGACGUUGUACACAAAAAUAUUUUCCUUCUGUAUAUCUUUAUUCUAGAAGUUUUUUUCUAUUUAUUUAUUUAUUUUUUAUUUUGAUUGUUUUUUGCCGUUAACAUUUUUUUGUUAAAAAGUAAGACCAAAACACACUUGUUAGCCUGGGCCUACACAGGGUCAUUAAGACAUCACUAAGCAACAGGAAUUUUUUCAGAUCCAUUAUAAUCUUAUGGGACCACAGUGUAUAUGCGGUCUGUUGUUGACCAAAAUAUUGUUGUGUGACACAUUAAUGGGGUGAGGAUAUUAUUCUCUAUUAUUAUCUUAUGUAAUUUUUAAAUGCCAUCAGAUAAAACACAGAAGGGAGCACAGAGCUGCCUGGUCCUGCAGCUCUCCUGGAGUGAGGUGGUGCUGCUAACCACUGGAAGCUGAAGUCCAGAGGCUCUAUUCAGUCAAGGGGUGAUGAACUCUCUUUGGGUCUGGAGACAGGCUGGAACUGGGAUGAGAUAUGGAGACCCUGCCAUUUACGACAACGUGGAUGUAUCUGCAGGACAUUAAGACAAGUGCAAUAAGCAAGACACGGAAAGAAAAUAUAGCAUGGUCUCUCUUAUAUGUGGAAUUUUAAAAAUUAACUCUGAAUACUUUGGAUUAAACUGCUCUGAAAAAUCAAAUCUGUCCAUGGCAGUGCUAGCAUACUGUCUAUUAGAUUAAAUGAAGCUGUAAGCAUCUUUGAAGUACAAAUGAUACUUGGAAAGUAAAUGAAACUGGGAAUACUUGCAAGUAAAAUAUGGGAAGUCAAAGAGAUUAAAGGAUGAGAACCAGAAAUUGCUUAUGGCCAGUGUCCUGAGUAAGCCUCAGAAUCGCAUCCUAGAAGCAUCAAGUUCUUGUGUUACCCUAUGGAUCUAAAAAACGACUUCCUUAGUUUGAUGUAGUCUGCAGACAUCUCAUCAUCACAAAAACUUGAAAGCACUUACAGCACUAAGAAACUACCUUUGCAGAUUGUAAAAAAAGAUAGAAUCCUACUUAGUGUUUUGAUCACACCUGCCUAUUUCCCCAAGGUUUUACUGCAGGGUUAAAGAAUGAAUAAGCAUCUAGUUAUAUUUAAUAAACUCCAUGCCUUAUGGCUGAUUCUAAAGGCACAUGGCUUUGUUA
rnacentral:lncRNA from 1 species